UACGGGGGGGGUAAGCGUUGUUCGGAAUUACUGGGCGUAAAGGGCUCGUAGGCGGCCAACUAAGUCGGACGUGAAAUCCCUCAGCUUAACUGGGGAACUGCGUCCGAUACUGGAUGGCUUGGAUUUGGGAGAGGGAUGCGGAAUUCCAGGUGUAGCGGUGAAAUGCGUAGAUAUCUGGAGGAACACCGGUGGCGAAGGCGGCAUCCUGGACCAAUAUUGACGCUGAGGAGCGAAAGCUGGGGGAGCAAACGGG
rnacentral:rRNA from 1 species